GACGAACGCUGGCGGCGUGCUUAACACAUGCAAGUCGAGCGGUAAGGCCCUUUCGGGGGUACACGAGCGGCGAACGGGUGAGUAACACGUGGGUGACCUGCCCUCAGCUCUGGGAUAAGCCUGGGAAACCGGGUCUAAUACUGGAUAUGACUCCAUGACGCAUGUUGUGGGGUGGAAAGCCUUGUGCGGCUGAGGAUGGGCCCGCGGCCUAUCAGCUUGUUGGUGGGGUGAUGGCCUACCAAGGCGACGACGGGUAGCCGGCCUGAGAGGGCGACCGGCCACACUGGGACUGAGACACGGCCCAGACUCCUACGGGAGGCAGCAGUGGGGAAGUCUUGCGCAAGUGGGCGAAAGCCUGACGCAGCGACGCCGCGUGAGGGAUGACGGCC
rnacentral:rRNA from 1 species